UUUUUGAAUUUAAUAUAAAGUCUAGCCUGCCCACUGAAAUUUUUAAAUGGCCGCAGUAUUCUAACUGUGCAAAGGUAGCAUAAUCAUUAGUCUUUUAAUUAAAGGCUGGAAUGAAUGGUUGGAUGAAAUAUUAACUGUUUCAUAUAAAUUUAUAGUAGAAUUUAAUUUUUUAGUAAAAAAGCUAAAAUAUAAUUAAAAGACGAGAAGACCCUAUAAAUCUUUAUAUAAAAAUAAUUAUAUUUAUAUUGAUAAAUUUAAUUAUAAUUAAAUUUUAUAUUUUAUUGGGGUGAUAUUAAAAUUUAAUAAACUUUUAAUUUAUUAUGUACAUAAAUUAAUGAAUUAUUGAUCCAUUUUUUAUGAUUAAAAAAUUAAGUUACUUUAGGGAUAACAGCGUAAUUUUUUUAGAGAGUUCUUAUUGAUAAAAA
rnacentral:rRNA from 1 species